GUUAUAGGGAAAGGAAAACAAGGGGCUGUGUCUCCCAUGGUUACAGCUGCUCGACUCACAUUGAUCUGGCCAGCACCUGGACCCCUUCAGAACCCCAGCACAGUACUAAGGAAGUUUGUGGCCACAGAGCUAGCUGGAUCCCCAGGAGCUGAGUGCUGCCAAGAGAGCUGACCCAAGUGACCGAGGCCACCUGCAGCUGCUCUCUCCACUUGCCAUGGGAGCCUCAGCCGAAGAUGUGGGAAUGAAGUAGUCAGGGCAUUUGUUUCCAUGAAAAUCCUCUUUGUGAGGCCGCCUUGGCUGGCUGUGUCCCUCGGCUGAGUGUCCCUGCUCCUCUCAGGCACCCUCUCCCCACGGCUCCUACUUCACUGGUCCCUCAGGGCCUUGGGUGGCAAGAGCUCUGCUUCUGAUGCCUGUGCCAGGCCCCUGCCCUGGGCUUUCCCGGAGCCUUCAGCCCAAACAUACCUGGGUGAUUAGUACUUUUGUAAAUAAAUGCUCUACAAAUUACCCCAACUAAAGUGGACGGGCUCCAAAGUCCACACUGUGACAGCCAUACCUUUAAAGUAACGACUGGCUUCCUCUUUCAUCUGCAUUGACCCUGUUUGCUCAAUGUAAUGUGGUCUUUAAUUCAACGAUUACAUUUUGCAUAUGUAAUAUUUUGACUUGGUUCUUUUCGGUAGUUUCUUUGUCUUAGGUCUUAUUACUAAUAAUAUUUUUCUGUAUCCAAAAA
ensembl:lncRNA novel transcript